UGAGGUCCAUGAAGACAUGGUUUGCCAAGCUUGGAGCGGAAAAACAGGAGUGGCCUACACAGAGCCCUGUCCUCGACCCCACUUUGAGACGAACCUUUGAGAUGAACUGGAACGCUGACUGCACCCCGGAGCUCCGCACACAACAUCAGUGCCUGACCUCACUAAUGCUGUUAUGGCUGAAUGAGCACAAAUCCCCACAGUCACACUGCAAAAUUUAGUGGAAAGUCUUCCCAGAAGAGUGGAGAUUAUUAUUACAGCAAAGGGGGACUAAACCUGGAAUGAAAUCAACAAGCACAUACUGGGUCACGGGGAGCCUGGAGCCUAUCCCAGAGGACUCGGGGCAUGAGGGGACACACACGCUGGACAGGGUAACAACCCAUCGCACACAAAUUCACAUAAUUUGGAGAUGCCAAUCAGCCUACAGCGUAUGUUUUUCGACCAGCGUACCCCAAGGAAACCCCCGAAGCAUGGGAACAACAAGCAAACACAGCGCAGAGGUGGGAUUCAAAGCCCUGGAGGUGCGAGGCAAAUGUGCAAACAACUAAGUCACCAUUACCCUCAAUUAGAGUUAAAUGAAUAUUUAAUUCCAGAUUUUUUUUUUUUUUAACCUCAUUCAAUGGUGUACAUUCUUGGUUAAUAGAGUUGUUAGAAAUACCUGUACCACUGUGUGUAAUGUACAGUAUUGUACCUUUCCUUUUGCUGCACUGUGAAUAAUAAAGAUGUACCAGGCUACAGUAGGUACAUUUUAUACUUCUGUGCCUGGUAGAUUUUGGCACGUUGGUACAAGUGAGCAUCCUGCUGCUUUAUUUUUUUAAACUGAAAAAACCCCAAAACCUUUUAAUGUCAUUGUAUUAAAAACCAAACAAACAAACAAAAAAA